rnacentral:SRP_RNA from 1 species
GGUAUAAAGUUUUAUAGAUUUUAACUAUAACUUAUCAUGUCAGGACUGUAAAGUAACAGCAUCGAGUUACUCUUUAAAAUUUAAUGUAAACUUUAUAUCA